rnacentral:sRNA from 1 species
AUGGCUAUGUCAAACCGUAGAUGUUCUUCAGGGUUCUUUCUGCCUGAAGGAAAUGGGGCGAGAUUUUUAUCCUUCUGCCCGCGUUUCAGGUCAAUGUUGGAUUUUGGCCCCUUGAUGCGCUCCGUCUGAAGCCCGAAAGAUGAACUAAAUCUUUUGACGGAUUGUCUAUGUGUGAAGAACAUGUUCCCCCACACCGAGAAUGGAGAUGCUGAAGACAAUAAUGGAAUAUCACAUUUCAUUUUCUGUUCGUUUCGUCCCAUAAAAGUGUUGUUCUUGUUGUGGUUCUACACUGUAGUAAAAGAUUCUUUCUGUUAAUUACCAACUUGGUGUCUGACUCGGAGAGCAACAAAAUCUCAGCCAUAGGCGAUAUUUAU